rnacentral:rRNA from 1 species
AGCGAACGUUAGCGGCGCGCUUAACACAUGCAAGUCGAACGAGAAAGGGACUUCGGUCCUGAGUAAAGUGGCGCACGGGUGAGUAACACGUAGGUAACCUCCCCUCCGGAGGGGGAUAACGCUCCGAAAGGAACGCUAAUACCGCAUAAAACCACGUCGGCCACGGCCGAAGUGGGAAAAGCUGGCCUCUCCUUGGAAGCUAGCACCGGAGGAUGAGCCUGCGUCCCAUCAGCUUGUUGGUAAGGUAACGGCUUACCAAGGCUAAGACGGGUAGCUGGUCUGAGAGGAUGAUCAGCCACACUGGCACUGAAACACGGGCCAG